GUUCUAUUUUUUAACUCUUUGAGGAACCUCCACACAGUUUUCCAGAGUGGCUGCACCAUUGCACAUUCCUACCAACAGUGCAAGAGGGUUCCCCGUUCUAAAUUUGAUGUGAUCUGUGGAAGCCUCCUGCUUUGUGGUCUCCAGAUCUUAGGGAGUUUUUUUUCCCCCCAACAAUAUGGUGCUGCUGCUAGCACUAUCCUUUGAAACCUGUGCGGCCUCUACAGGAAGGUGUGUGAAUUCCACCUUCUGAGAGGUUUCCAGACUACCACCCCCACUAGCCAGUCUUAAGUAAAGGCCUUUCUUGGCCCUGAGGAAAGAGUCAGAAAUCUGCUCCCUGCCUCCUUGGCUGUUCAAAGAGCACUUGCCACGAUCUGGGCCUCAGAACCCCAUGUGUACAGUAAAGAGGCUCUGCUCAGAGGUCUCCAGGGUUCCCUCAGCAGCUCCAUCCCAUGCCGUCAGGUUGUUAGGACAAUAGGAGGGGAUAUUUUCUAGCCCAGCAUUUUACAAACUGUUUAGGGAAACUUUACAUUCUGUGAGAUAUUAAUAGCAUUCAGUAGAACAAAAGGUGGUGGUGAAAAGGGGGUUGUUCUGGACUUCAAUAUUUAGUUAAAUUUAAAUAAGAAUCCUCAGGAUGUUUAACAUGUUAAUUAUACCUUGAAUUUCCUCAAAGAAAAAUGUGGUAGACAGAUAAAAGUAGGCUCACAAAGUGGCUGAGAGCACCAGCUAGGUUUUGAAUCCUAGUUCUGCUACUUUCUAGCUGUGUGACCAUGGAGAAGUUCACUAGCCUCUUUGACCUGCAGCUUUAGCAGUGUUAUGGGGCUGAAAUGCAGCAUUUCAUGCAAAGUGCUGUGCCUGAAAUACAAACACUCAGUACAUGCGAGAUCAUUAUAAUAUUGUCCAUGUGGCUCUUUUGUGGAGGAAUAGUUAUAAGCAUCUCUUAGGGUGCUGUUAUUCCAUGAGCACAGUUUGGGAAAAUACUGAUUGUUCUGCUUGUUUUGAGCACUAUGCUGAUUCGUCACCCUGACAUUGAAAGAUUCCUGUGAACACCUGCCCACCUCUUUAUCCACUUGUGCUGAUCACAGUGUCUUGGGGCAUGAUGGACAUAGAGCUUGGACACUGAGUACAGGGGCCUGAAAACUCAGAUGAGCCCAGAGAAGGGCUGAGUUGAUUCCACGUUGAUCCAAAGACAAGAACCAUGCUGACAAGCCUGAGCACUUCAUUCCAGCCAUCAAGAGUGACACUGAACAGAGAGAAGUCCAGGGUCUAAAUGCUUGACCGUUGACAAAACAUUAAGCCAAGUUCUGAUUUGUAGCAUUUGCCCAUUUCUGUGAUGCAAGUACUCCCAUCACCGCCAGUUUCAAGCUGCUGACAUGGUGCCAUUGAAUGUGGAGUUGAGAAGAGAUGCACAUGAUUCUGUAGUAUUAUCACCACACAGGGGUUUAAAAAUUUGGCUGAUCGAUGUUUUGUAACCUUGGUUUUCCAUCAACACUGAAGGAAGAUACCAUGGCAGACAGUCAGAAAUAACUCUGGAAUGACAAGAAUGCAGCCAUCUCUCUUAGAGUGAAGCCUGACCUGCCCUGCAGAUCCAGAGUUUUGGAGCUGUUUUUGAGAGUGCAAUUUUCUCAGAGAAAACACAGGAGACAAAUGAAAGCUGCCCCGCGCAGCAAAUCCUUCUAGUUGUGUGAAACCCCAGAAAGUAAAGCAGUCUUCAUCAUCAUGUCUUUGUCAUCUGGCAGCGUGUAAAAAGGGUGAAGCAGAAAGGCACACCAGAACACCUGUGGCCAUUAUGAAAGCCAAAGCCACCUCCCACCCUGCGCAUUUUUUAUUCUCAAUGUGCAGCAUCUGUCAGCCUGAGAUGAAAACCCAGCAACAGAGGACCCAGAACCUGGGCUCAGAUGAGCUGACGGAGGAAUUAGGAGGAUUUUGCAAUAAAGCCCAUUAAUUCUAUUGGAUUGAAACAUCUCCUAAUUCCGCACAGCCGAGGACAGCUGUGCUUUUUUUUUAUCUCACAUUUUACAUGGUGUUUUAUGCCUGCUUGGAAUCAAGGGUGCAGGUCUGUGCAGAAAGGUGGAAGGACCAGAGAGAUGGGGUUCUGGAGUUAUCACUUACCAGCCAGAAGGGGCUUGGCCACAUCACUUAGGCUCCAAGCCUCAACUACCUUAGAUUAUGUAUUUUACCAUGAGCUCACACCAUAAGGUCAUGUGCAAUUGUUUAUGUAUCACCGGGUUGGAAGAAAAGGAAAAGCAAACCUUGAUGGUUGAAGGAAGGCUGUUCAUCUCAAUUUUCACUGUUAGAAUAGGGGAGAGUUCACCGGUCCUUCCUGACCUUGGCCAUUUGACUUACAUCUGACCUAGGGAAGGCCUGGAGGGUCUCAGCACUUGGAGUGGGAAGAGCUUGGAGGGGGACCCAAGUGGACUUAGCUAGUGAGAGGGGACACUGCCAAGGUCAAGAUGCUACUUCACUGUGCUCCGAGUCAUCAUCUAAGACAGCCCUGCAUUCCUCUGCAUUCUGUGAGGAACAUCUUAAUUACUUCUUCUGGAUCCCCCCAAAAUUGAAACCACCAACAUCUCUUGGAAGGCAGAGUCUCAUCUUAAAAUGUUCUCUUUGUUUAUACAUUCAUCAAGUAUAAAAACAAAUGCUGAUAUUCUUGCUAUAAUGUUAAAUCAAUAGAGACAACAGAGUGGGAUUUCAAUGAUGCUAAAAACUGAUUAUGCAAAGAAGAACAGACUUGAUGAAAAUGUUAAUAGUGGCUGUAUUUGAGAGAAUAGAUAAUGGGCUUUUUUCAGCUUUUGUAAAUAUAUUUUUUUAAAACUUAAAAGGUUCUUCAAUUACUCUUAUUAUAAAAAAGGAUUCUGUUCAGAAAUAUUUUAAUAUGCCCCAAAGGGAAAGUUCAUUUUUAUAUUUUCAUGAAAAUUACAUAUAUAAAUUCAAUAAAAGUUAAUGAUGGCAUGCUAUAAUACUGAAAAUUUUGGAAGAUGUUUUAUUAAUAUUCAUAGAGAUACUGAGUCUGAGUCACUCAGUAAAUGCAAUAUAGUAAAAAGUAUAUUACAAUAAAUUUUUUACAUAAAAAAAUGAUCAAAAACUAUUCAGUUUCUGAGUACACUCAAUAACAAGGAAUAUUUGAUACAUUUAAGAGCACAGUGGGAGCACCUGGGCGGCUCAGCCUGUUAGGCGGCGGACUCUUGAUUUUGGCUCAGGUCAUGAUGUCAGGCCUCUGAGCUGGGUAUGGAGACUGCUUGAGAUUCUCUCCCCCUCUCCCUCCUGGG